rnacentral:rRNA from 1 species
GAAUAUUGGACAAUGGGCGAAAGCCUGAUCCAGCCAUGCCGCGCGCGUCAUGAAGGUCUUCGGAUUGUAAAGCCCUCUAAGUUGGGGGGAAGGGCAGUAAGCGAAUACCUAGCUGUUUUGACUUUACCGACAGACUAAGCACCUGCUAACCCCUUGCCACCAGCCGCGGUAAGACAGAGGGUGCAAGCGUUAAUCGGAAUUACUGGGCGUAAAGCGCGCGUAGGUGGUUCGUUAAGUUGGAUGUGAAAUCCCCGGGCUCAACCUGGGAACUGCAUCCAAAACUGGCGAGCUAGAGGAGGGAAGAGGGUGGUGGAAUUUCCUGUGUAGCGGUGAAAUGCGUAGAUAUAGGAAGGAACACCAGUGGCGAAGGCGACCACCUGGGCUCAUACUGACACUGAGGUGCGAAAGCGUGGGGAGCAAACAG